rnacentral:rRNA from 1 species
GACGAACGCUGGCGGCGUGCUUAACACAUGCAAGUCGAACGGAAAGGCCCUGCUUGUGUGGGGUGCUCGAGUGGCGAACGGGUGAGUAACACGUGAGUAACCUGCCCUUGACUUUGGGAUAACUUCAGGAAACUGGGGCUAAUACCGGAUAGGAGCUCCUGCUGCAUGGUGGGGGUUGGAAAGUUUAGGCGGUUGGGGAUGGACUCGCGGCUUAUCAGCUUGUUGGUGGGGUAGUGGCUUACCAAGGCUUUGACGGGUAGCCGGCCUGAGAGGGUGGCCGGCCACAUUGCGCCUGCGGUAGGCACCAGAGUGGUACGGGAGGCAGUGGGGGGGAGUCUGGCCCAAUGGGCGCAAGCCUGAUAAGGAGACGUCGGGUGUGUAAAGACGGUUUUCGGGUUAUGAACCGCUUUAGCCUGAGACGAAGCGUGUGUGACGGUAAUGGGUAAAGAAGCACCGGCUAACUACGUG